AAUCUUAUAUUCAAAUAGGUAUAUGAUAUUAAGUUGCAAAUUUAAAGGUAUUAAUUCAUUAAUUAAGGUUU
rnacentral:tRNA from 1 species